rnacentral:rRNA from 1 species
GACGAACGCUGGCGGCGCGCCUAACACAUGCAAGUCGAACGGAGUUUCCCCUUCGGGGGGAGCUUAGUGGCGGACGGGUGAGUAACACGUGAGGAACCUGCCUUUGAGAGCGGGAUACCGUCUGGAAACGGACGUUAAUACCGCAUAAUGCAGCGAGGCCACAUGGCCAUGCUGCCAAAGAUUUAUCGCUCAAAGAUGGCCUCGCGCCUGAUUAGAUAGUUGGCGGGGUAACGGCCCACCAAGUCUGCGAUCAGUAGCCGGACUGAGAGGUCGAACGGCCACAUUGGGACUGAGAUACGGCCCAGACUCCUACGGGAGGCAGCAGUGGGGGAUAUUGCACAAUGGGCGAAAGCCUGAUGCAGCGACGCCGCGUGAGGGAAGACGGUUUUCGGAUUGUAAACCUCUGUCUUCGGGGACGAAACAAGACGGUACCCGAGGAGGAAGCCACGGCUAACUACGUGCCAGCAGCCGC